CUUAAAUUGAAGAGUUUGAUCAUGGCUCAGAUUGAACGCUGGCGGCAGGCCUAACACAUGCAAGUCGAGCGGAAACGAGUUAUCUGAACCUUCGGGGAACGAUAACGGCGUCGAGCGGC
rnacentral:rRNA from 2 species